CCCUUUGUGAACCUUACCAUAUUGUUGCUUCGGCGGGACCGCCCCGGCGCCUUCGGGCCCGGAACCAGGCGCCCGCCGGAGGCCCCAAACUCUUAUGUCUUUAGUGGUUUUCUCCUCUGAGUGACACAUAAACAAAUAAAUAAAAACUUUCAACAACGGAUCUCUUGGUUCUGGCAUCGAUGAAGAACGCAGCGAAAUGCGAUAAGUAAUGUGAAUUGCAGAAUUCAGUGAAUCAUCGAAUCUUUGAACGCACAUUGCGCCCGCCAGUAUUCUGGCGGGCAUGCCUGUUCGAGCGUCAUUUCAACCCUCAGGCCCCCAGUGCCUGGUGUUGGGGAUCGGCCCAGCCUUCCUGUAAGGCCGCCGGCCCCGAAAUCUAGUGGCGGUCUCGCUGUAGUCCUCCUCUGCGUAGUAGCACAACCUCGCAGUUGGAACGCGGCGGUGGCCAUGCCGUUAAACACCCCACUUCUGAAAGUUGACCUCGGAUCAGGUAGGAAUACCCGCUGAACUUAAGCAUAUCAAUAAGCGGAGGA
rnacentral:rRNA from 1 species